rnacentral:lncRNA from 1 species
GAUGUCACCACUGGAGUGUCCUGGCUGGAUCGGCAAGCAGUCAGCAGAAGGGGAGGAGAGAAGAAGAGAGGAGGGAAGAGACGGCGAAAUGUGUUUCCUGAAUGGGAGGAGAGGUGGAAAAAGCCCAUCCUGCCCCAAGAAUCACCGCCGCCCCACCAGAGCUGCCGCCACUGGCCUUUCUGCAGAGGCAGCAAAAGUUCCCCAAGAGGGGAGCGUCUGCCAACUCAAACAGGGCUCAUUCUCCUCUCUGUGGGCCGUCAGCCGCCCAUGUGGGCCUGCGCUGGGCUUCCUGAGGGCUCGAUGCAGCUGGAGGACUUUGAAUAAAGGUAACGGCAAUGUCACAGCUACUGUAAACUUGCGAGGCUGCUCCUGUCAGCAGGACAUUCCCAAUCAAAGCAGAAACAACCCCACCUAAAACACAACACAUUGUUUUUUUCCACUGGCCCCAAGUCCAAACUUCCCACGAAUCACAAAGACAGCACACAGGCGAGAGGGCAACCACUGUUCCCUGAUCUUGCCAAACAAAAUGCCAAGAGACCAGGAAUGACAUUCAGCUCUGGGGUUUAAAAAUACGAGCAAUUUGAAAAUGAUUAGUCUUAUUUUCUUGUUGAGCGCCUGACACAGGAGAGGAAACCAGAACAAUCAACCCAACUGCCUUUUUUUCUGCUGAAUUUAGAAACACUAAUUAGUUUUGCUCUCGUAAAGCCAACCUGAAAACGACCAAUUAGAAAGUGAAAAUGAGACGUGCAGAGAAACAAGAGCUUGUCAUUUGCACUGUUUAAGUCCCAUAUGCACAACUUUACUGUGAUGACUUUCACACAAGCUCGGGAUGAUUGGCAUGCCACCUACUAAAUUUGAUGUCACAUACACACACACCAGUCAAACAGCCUUUUGCCUAGUUGGAUGAAACUAUCACAGAUCUGUACGACCACAUCAAACUCAAGCGGGCAGCCUGGGCAUGCAGAUGUCUGAAGCACCAGGCUGGGAUACAGCCCACCAGGCUGACCACAGCACCAGCUGGUUACAGCUACAGACGUACCAGAGCCAAACUGUUCCCCCUUACAGGUGCCUCUUCUCUGAGUUUCCUCUUUCAGGGGUACUGGAAUAAUACAUCUGUAUGUACUCUUUCAAUGUAACAACUGAGGCAGGUAUCUGUAAGUACUUCUUUUUCAGACACACCUGAAAUAUAUUUCACCUGCUGAGUGGCAUUGGUUCGCAUCUAUCCAGUCAUUAGAAGUGAAUAUAAAAUGUGAAAAUUAUCUGCAGGAAUUUCAGUGCUAUUCCCCCGGCAAACAGUGGCGAGUGUUUCAUCACUGUCGGACUGAAGACGGAUGAGCUGUCAGUGCCUUCCCCUGUCCACAAUCCAGCUCCUGGGCUGGGAAGUGGCUAAAAAAGGCCGGGGCAACGCUUUCCAGGACUGCGCCUUUUACUGGGAGUAAUUCUCAGAUGCCAGAUUGCUGCCAACGUCCUUGCAGCCAAUGGCAGAGAGGCCAGUAAGUUCACAUUAACUGCAGAGUGUAACUGCACUGAACAUCUGCUCAUGAAUGAGAGCGCUGCCCACUAACUCAGCUAGUUGAAGCCCGCUGAUGAAAAAUUCAACGUUCUCCUCGUUGGCACGCUUGUUUUGCACUAUUCUCCUGAGCCCCUAGAAUUAUAUUAAGAGAAUUUCAGCACGGCCUGGUGUAUCUGAGAGAACAGCUGGCGCUGAAAAGAGAUCUGCCGCUCGGCGAGAGCUCAGGGACUUCACACGGGAUCUGCCUUCUCCUACACCAUUUGUCCUUGAAGAGAAAAAAACCCUCCAGUGUUAAGCACCCAGGUAAUAAUAAGAAAGCAGAGGCUACAUUUAGCUGAUUACACCACCCGUGUGUGCUACAGCGGACAGCGCAUAACCACUGAAGACAUGAAUCGAUAUUGAGUGGAAAAGGAAGACAGAAGAGCAUUUGUGACAUGAGGCAGCUACCCCGACCUCAGGAGACCCAUUCGGUGUACCUCUCUUUUGUUUGUCUUGUUUAGCUCAUUAGAUUGUUAACUAGGAAGAAUCUGCCCCCAACCCCACAAUAUGGAACAAGCUUAAUCAGAAACAGAAGCAGUGUGUUAAGGGAACAACUACUUCAAAGAGCUUCAAGUGCUGCAAUCAUGUGCCCCAUGAGUUUCUAAUGUUACAGGAAAUGUUCAGGCAAACAAUGAAAGUUGUCAUGUUCAUGUUCUAAGAUGACUACUGAC